rnacentral:rRNA from 1 species
UACGUAGGGUGCAAGCGUUGUCCGGAAUUAUUGGGCGUAAAGAGCUCGUAGGCGGUUUGUCGCGUCUGCUGUGAAAACUCAGGGCUUAACCCUGAGCCUGCAGUGGGUACGGGCAGACUAGAGUGUGGUAGGGGAGGUCGGAAUUCCUGGUGUAGCGGUGGAAUGCGCAGAUAUCAGGAGGAACACCGGUGGCGAAGGCGGAUCUCUGGGCCAUAACUGACGCUGAGGAGCGAAAGCAUGGGGAGCGAACAGG